rnacentral:rRNA from 1 species
UACAGAGGUCCCAAGCGUUGUUCGGAUUCACUGGGCGUAAAGGGUGCGUAGGAGGGCAGGUAAGUCAGUGGUGAAAUCCUGGGCUUAACCCCAGACUGCCGUUGACUACUAUCGGUCUUGAAUGUCGUGGAGGUGAGCGGAAUAUGUCAUGUAGCGGUGAAAUGCUUAGAUAUGACAUAGAACACCAAAUUGCGAAGGCAGCUUGCUAACAUCG